CUGAGCCUCUCGGACUCGGGGAGGGCUCCGGGCAGCUGUGCCAAGCAAGCAUGGGUUUGCCGAUGAGGCAGCUGAGUCCACGCAUCCACAGACUUAGUUUUCUAUGAUCUCCUGUUAUGGGUUGAGUUUUGUCCCCCCAGAUGCAAGUCCUAACUCCCAGCCCCGCAGAACGCAACCUUAUUUGGAGAUAGGGUCUUUGCAGAGGGCAAUGCAUCUACGGGCCAGGGAACAUCGAAGAUGCCAGCCAACCACCAUGAGCCGGGGGAGAAGCCGGGCCCUGAUUCUCCCCCACAGCCCUCAGAAGGAAGUAACCUUGCUGACGCCCUGAUCUUGAACUUCCAGACCUCACAGCUGGGAGACAAUACAUUUCUUCGUUGAAGCCA